GGCUUAUUUGAGUUGUAGGCUUUGCCUGCUAUCUCUUACCCAUGUCUUUUGAGUACCUUACGUUUCCUCGGCGGGUCCGCCCGCCGAUUGGACAAUUUAAACCAUUUGCAGUUGCAAUCAGCGUCUGAAAAAACUUAAUAGUUACAACUUUCAACAACGGAUCUCUUGGUUCUGGCAUCGAUGAAGAACGCAGCGAAAUGCGAUAAGUAGUGUGAAUUGCAGAAUUCAGUGAAUCAUCGAAUCUUUGAACGCACAUUGCGCCCCUUGGUAUUCCAUGGGGCAUGCCUGUUCGAGCGUCAUUUGUACCUUCAAGCUCUGCUUGGUGUUGGGUGUUUGUCUCGCCUCUGCGUGUAGACUCGCCUCAAAACAAUUGGCAGCCGGCGUAUUGAUUUCGGAGCGCAGUACAUCUCGCGCUUUGCACUCAUAACGACGACGUCCAAAAGUACAUUUUUACACUCUUGACCUCGGAUCAGGUAGGGAUACCCGCUGAACUUAAGCAUAUCAAUAAGAGGAGGAACA
rnacentral:rRNA from 1 species